CAGGAAUCGCGAGUCGACCACUAGCGCGGAUCCAAAACCGCCGGGAGCGGGCAACAAACGUGGACGCUACGUCUAAGGACGGAGGCGAAGGGAGAAGAAAGGGCUCCCUGCUUGUUAUUUCUGAGUUGCCUUUAUUUUUUUCCCGGGCCGCGUGGGAUCGGUUAUUGUUUCCCGCGGUGGGGGCAGCGCCGAGGCGAAACAGAUGACGCCAUCGCGCAGGCAUCAGCAGAGCCGGCAGUGGCAGUCUUUCUCGUGGGCAGGAGCCGCGCGGGCAGCAGCAGCCCGCGGCAGAAGGGGCGGUGCGAGGCAGCGGCGCGGGCGGCAGCGGAGCUUUCCCGGCGCCGGGACAGCAGUGGCUCGGCGGCGGCGGAACCUUUCCAUGGCCGGAACAACAGCGGCAACAGUCCGGGCGGCGUCGGAGCCUCUCCGUUGCCGGAACGUGACAGCAGUCGCCUCUCUCUCUCGCAGCGGAGAGCCGGGUUGGAGCCGCCGGUUUUGUAGCUUAAGGGGAGGGCGAGGCACUGCUUCUGGGAGCCAUCCCCGGUGCAGUGCGCAGUGAUGUGGCCCGUGGCGAGCCUUGCCUGCCUGGCCACCCCUAGCAGAAGGGCAGGGGUGGCAGCAAUUUAUUCCCAGCAUCCUGCAUGAAGAGAGGCGUUUAAUAGCACCAGCACUGUGGCAGUUGCCACUGUCUAUGCUGUGGCGAUGGGACUGCAUGGCUAACAGUGAAAAUAUGAUGAACUACUCCCCUAUGUGGAACCUAGACAAAAUCAACCUCUCAGUGCUGCGGGAUCUUGCAAGAACCUUUGAAUUAGUGGAACUUGUUGGCAAUAGUACCUACAAGCAGCAGUUUUUCUUCUAGCCAGAGAAGAGAAGGAAGUGAGGACAUGAGGAAAAACAGCAUGGCAGCACCAAUGUCAGUGGAAAAGAAAGAGGGGGCGGAAGUGCUCCAAACAUUAGAGCCGAGAUUCUUCUGCAAGCCGUGGUGAACACCAUGGUGAAACAAACUGUCCCCUUGUAAUGCAUGAAGUCCACGGGGGAUGCAGAGAUCCACUCACAGCUGGUGGGAAAAGUGCUCAUGCCAGAGUGGGUGGAUGCCAAAAAAAACUGUGAUCUAGUGGAAAACCUGAACAGAGAGAGAGGGCCUCUGCUUCCAGAGACAGAGAGAGAGGGCCCUGGCUUCCAAACUAGAACAGCCUAUAUCCUUAGAGGACUGCACCCCGUGGAUGAGCGACCCACGCCACAACAGUUUUGGGAAGACUGUUUGCCUGGGGGAGGGACCCCACAGAAUAGCAGAAAAAAAACUCCUCUCCCUGAGCGAACAGAAAAAGAUCUCGAGUAACAAACUGGCCAAAACCCCCAUGCCCUGUCUCCCUGCACUGUCAGUGGGAAGGAGGGAGGGGCUGGGGGGAAAAAAGGUGUUUUAAAGGCUUAUUUUACUUAUCAUUAUCCUCCUCUGACUCUGUUAAUAAUAAAUUUACUUUAUACCUUUAAAAUUGAACCUA